GCUGGGCCCGUGAGCCAUGGCCACUGAGCCUGCGUGUCCGGAGCCUGUGCUCCGCAACGGGAGAGGCCCGCGUACCGCAAAAAAAAAAAAAAAAAGUACGUGAUGAAAUAGGCCUCAUGGCUCAAAUUUAAUCCUGGGGACUGGCAUCAGUUACAGGUUGGCACCCUUGCUUAAGGGCUGCUUCUGGCCCCCACGGGAAUGGUGUCCUCUGGAGAGCAAGGGAGAUUGACCCUAGUGAGUGGCACUGCCCUGGAAGGUUCUGCACUAGAAGCACAGGUCCAUGGCCUGCUUUUGAGGGUCCGGGAGCUCAUCUGUGGGGGCUUGCCUUUCCUGUGAACCACAUACUGAGCCACUGGACAGGAUUUAAGAGCAGAAAAGGAGCUUCCGCUCCCAGGCACUGGCAAAAUAAGCCUAGAGAACCAACUCGAAAGUGAGGCAGUCUUAAGCUCUUUGAAUGGGUUCUUAAGGGAACAUGUACACAUGACAAAAGUACAUGUGAAAACAGAUAAAUAGAUAAACGUUAGAUGAGACUUCUGAAAAAUAGAAAUAGCUUUGUUUGGGGAUGUGGGAUUAUAGAUGAAGUAUCUGUGCUUGUAAUAAAGUUUUCAUACAAUUUUUCUUUUAAGUCAGUACAGAUGUGUAUCUGUGUCAAACACCAAAGAAGGCCCAAAACUGUCAUAUUAGUGUGACUGUAAGAGUAGCGUCUUUCCCGGCAUUGCAUAUAUCGAAAUAGUAGCCCUGGGCGGGGCAGGGGGGGGUGGGGUGGUAAACCAUGUGGCAAAGCUGCUUAGAAACUGCUUAGAUCCCUUGCUCAGGGAAAACCAUUCUUAAAGCAGCAGGCGUCUCUUGGCAUGGCUGAGAAUGGAAGCUUGAAGAGGAACAGAUUGGAGGGUGGAACUUGAACAGGGUAUUUAGGGGAGAGGAGCUGUGGGGGAGGGGGAGAUAGGAGCAUCCAGACAUGGCCUCCCAUGCAGCCUGGAGCCCUGCAGGUGACAGGUUUAGGCAAGGAGACUCGUGUUGAUGAAGGGACCGGUGAUGGAGUGGGGUGAGGAGAAGCCGAGAGUCAAGAAGGUCAUUUAGGAUAUUUGUGUUAUGGUUAUAUACUUUUUUUUUUCUUUUUUUUAAGAUCUGUAAGGGUGGACAUGAGUCAAUGGCCAGACUGUGCCUGGCUAAUGGAUUCCUGCUUCUCAUACCUGACUCCAUCUAAGAAGGUUUAGCCCCUUAAGGAAAAAGUAUUUUCGCUGUUUCAGAGAGUCAAGUGACCGGAAUGUACUAUAUGGAGGAAAUGAACUCACGCCAAAGCAACGGGCAAAUCUGUCGAAUUAUGAAAUGCUGAGGGAUGUUCUAAUUCCCAAGCCGUCCUGCGGUGGAUGAAGCGGGAGCUCCCCAUCCCUAGGAGUAAUCAGCAAGCUGAUUCUGCUGGUGAAUGCCUUCGGCCCUGGAAUUUCAAUGCCUCCUAGACCAAGCUGGGCACCCGGAAUGCUGCCUCCCCCUGCUGGCCUCCCUCUCUCCAGCCUGAUUUCCUUUGGAGAUUCUAGAGGGUCCAGCUCAAAACUUGGCACGAUGCCCCGGGAGAAGGAGAAAUGAUCCUGAACAAAUGGAAAGGACAGAGUGAGAGGAGGAGCCUUCUCCUGAGGCACAGAAGGAGACCAGGCAUCUGCCUAGGGUGUGAGGGCCCCUGGAGUGAGGGCUCCCUCUGUGCAGGGCAGUGUGCUAAAUGAGUACUCUUGCAUGCAUGUGGGACAGAGCUGGGAUUUGUAAGGCCUAAUUCUUUUUUUUUUUUUAAUUUAUUUAUUCUUAUUUUUAUUUAUUUUUGGCUGUGUCGGAUCUUUGUUGCUGCGUGCACGCCUUCUCUAGUUGCGGCGAGCGGGGGCUACUCUUCGUUGCGGUGCAUUGGCUUCUCAUUGCCGUGGCUUCUCUUGUUGCAGAGCAUGGGCUCUAGGCGCACGGGCUUCAGUAGUUGUAUACGGGCUCAGUAGGUGUGGCUCGCGGGCUCUAGAGCACAGGCUCAGUAGUGGUGGCGCAGGCGCUUAGUUGCUCCGCGGCAUGUGGGACCUUCCCGGACCAGGGCUCAAACCCGUGUCUCCUGCAUUGGCAGGCGGAUUCUUAACCUCUGUGCCACGAGGGAAGCCCAGGCCUAAUUCCUAUACAAUUUGGUGGGCGGGGGGGCUCUGUAAGGAAAGGAAAAGAGGGACUUCCCUGGUAGUGCAGUGGAUAAGACUUCGUGCUCCCAGUGCAGGGGGCCCAGGUUCGAUCCCUGGUCAGGGAACUAGAUCCCACAAGCUGCAACUAAGGAGUCCAUGUGCCACAACUAAGGAGCCGGUGAACUGCAACUAAAGAGCCUUGGAGCUGCAAGUGAGGAGCCUCCGGCCGCAACUAAGACCUGGUGGAACACAAGAAAGAAAGAAAGAAAAAAGAAAAGGAGAAGAAAAAUUGUGAAUACAAAAUUAGGUGCUAGGAUUUGGAAGAGAUUGUGCAAUUAAGGAGCCCUGUGGUUGCAGUUUCAUUAGCUUCCCGAUAAAUCAACCUCUGCAUGCAUUAUCUAGUUUAAUCCUCACAGUCCUAGGUGUAAGUAUUUUUAUCCCCACUUUUGGCACAUUUAAGAUGGCUCGCAAUUCUUGGUCACUCUUCCCAUCACAGGCUCUGUGACUGCUUGACCUAUAGAAUAUGGUGGAAGUGACACUGGGACACUUUCUGGCCCAAGCCUUAAAAGCAGCUUCCUCUUCUUGUCUUGAAACACCUACUCUUGGACCCCUGAGCCUCCAUGUUAGUCCAGCCACCUGUUGGAGAGACCACGUGGGGAGGCCCUGAGACUACAUGGAGAGCCAGACACGAGUGAAGCAAUCUUGCACCCUCCAGCCCAGCCCAGCCCUGCCACCAGCUAAAUACCACUGAGUGACUCAAUUAAUGCCACGUGGAGCAGAAGACUCAUCCAGCCAAGACCCAUCUGAACUCCUGACCUACAAAAUCAUGAGAUAGAAUAAAACAGUUGUUGUUUUUAGCCGCUAAGAUUUGAAGUACCUUUUUUAUGCAGCCAUAACUGAAACACCACUUUACAGCCAAAGACAUGAAGGCUUACAGAGGUUAUAACUUGCCCAAAGCCACGUACCUGGUAAACACAGGCACUGAGGUGUGAACCUCGGUUUGCCUGUUCCAAAACCUGUUCCCUUAACCACCGUGCUAUACCAAGGAGUAGUUAGACUUGUAAUGAUGAUUCUGAUUUGACUAUUUUGCUGUUUCUCUCAUGGCCAUACUGUGAGUGGGAGAAAAUAAUAGAUCAGGACAUCCAUGUGAC